rnacentral:rRNA from 1 species
UACAGAGGUCUCAAGCGUUGUUCGGAUUCAUUGGGCGUAAAGGGUGCGUAGGCGGCGCGGUAAGUCGGGUGUGAAAUCUCGGAGCUUAACUCCGAAACUGCAUUCGAUACUGCCGAGCUUGAGGACUGGAGAGGAGACUGGAAUUUACGGUGUAGCGGUGAAAUGCGUAGAUAUCGUAAGGAAGACCAGUGGCGAAGGCGGCUUUCUGGACAGAUACCGACGCUGAGACACGAAAGCUAGGGGAGCAGACAGG